AUUGAACGCUGGCGGCAGGCCUAACACAUGCAAGUCGAGCGAGCGGCGGACGGGUGAGUAAUGUAUGGGGACUGCCCGAUAGAGGGGGAUAACUACUGGAAACGGUAGCUAAUACCGCAUACUAUCGGAUAACCCAUAUGGGAUUAGCUAGUAGGGGAGGUAAUGGCUCACCUGGGCGACGAUCCCUAGCUGGUCUGAGAGGAUGAUCAGCCACAUGGGGACUGCGACACGGCCCAGACUCCUACGGAGGCAGCAGUGGGGAAUAUUGCACAAUGGGCGCAAUCCUGAUGCAGCCAUGCCGCGUGUAUGAAGAAGGCCCUGGGGUUGUAAAGUACUUCCAGUCGGGAGGCGUUACCGACAGAAGAAGCACCGGCUAACUCCGUGCCAGCAGCCGCGGUAAUAC
rnacentral:rRNA from 1 species